rnacentral:rRNA from 1 species
GACGUAGGGGGCAAGCGUUAUUCGGAAUUAUUGGGCGUAAAGCGCUCGUAGGCGGGACUGCAAGUCCGUGUUGAAAGACCUCGGCUCAACUGAGGGACCGGCGCGGAUACUGUGGUUCUUGAGGCAAUCAGAGGGUGAUGGAAUUCCAGGUGUAGCGGUGAAAUGCGUAGAUAUCUGGAGGAACACCGGUGGCGAAGGCGGCAUCCUGGACCGACAUUGACGCUGAGGCGCGAAAGCCAGGGGAGCAAACGGG